CGGCUGGAUAAAACUGGUGUCAGCCGCCCCGGAAUUACCGUAAGCUCUAGUGGGCGUCUCUUUUAUUGGGCCUCAGACGCCCGUAUCCCGUUUGGGCAAUCUGUGGGUGAAACUCCCAGCUUACCUGUGGGAAAUCUGCACAGACUGCCAGACUAUAGACCCCGAGAGGUGUGCGGUACUCUCGAGGUAGGGGAAAAAUCCUGUCAUCCCUAGAGGACACCCACUUUCGAAGGCGCCCCACUGGAACACAUCCCACAGUCACGGACAAAACCUCGGGGCACAAACCGCAUUAUAUACCCGGGUAGACCCAUGUGUAAACGCUGUGAACUUGGUGUCUCGAGUCCCCAAUGGGCCCCCGGUGCCCGAGUGAAGAUGUUAAGUUCACUGCCUGGGGAGUACAGUCGCACGGCUGAAACUUAUAGGAGUUGCGGGGGGAGCAC
rnacentral:rRNA from 1 species